CUGGCUUUAAGAGUCAGCGGCAGUGCUGGGAAAGAGGACCUGGAACAUGCAGGGGCUCCUGUGACCUGCUUGGGGCCAGCGCAGGGAAAGAAAACCGGGACACUCGACAUACUUGUUUCUGCAGAGCCUUUUGUCAAGGAGUGAGGUGACGGGCUGAGCCCAGUUUGCCCAGCCUGCUCUGAGUGGGUCUGGGGACCAGGUGUUUGCUCCUUGCUGUGUAGGAUGUCAUUGCAUACAGGGAGAAGGUGGCCGGCUCGUCUUGGUGUUUCCCGCGCCCUUCACCCCAUUCCCAAACAUUCCCAUCUGUCUCGUCCAAAAGGAGAGGAAAAAGCAUUAGGGGAUGAAGGAUACUUCUGUGUUACUUACAUUUCUGAAUAAACGUUUGAUAUUCCUAA